UUCUUUAAUAGAGAUUACAGUGAUUAAGGUUGCACCAAGGUUUGAAGACAUCUCUGUAAGCAGUAUUUCACCCAAACAUGAUAUUGAUGAUUCACGGCCUCCAUCAGAUGGUAACUUAGAUCUUGCUCCCAAGAAAGUCCGGCAUCCAAGAUUCGCCAAGCUAAUUCGGGUCUGGGAAGAACCCGUGAUAAACACAGAGGCAAAAGAUGGUGUUUUGAAACCAGGAACUAGCACCUUCUUUGAGGACAAAAAUUCUAAUAGUGAAAAUGAAGAUGCAGUUAGAACCUUUUUCCAACCAUCCACUGAAGUUUCAGGCUUUUCUCAUCCUGCCUUCCCAGCACCGGAACCUCUCACGUCUUCAGCAGUCCUUGGUGUUUCAGAGUAACUGAGUUCUAGUUUUCCAUGUGACUUAUCAUGCUGUUUCACACCUCGACCUUCGGCUCAGGCUGCCCUUUUU